UGGCUGGCUUUCAAGGAAUAUUUGGUCUAC
rnacentral:piRNA from 1 species